GUGCUGCAUGCAGCAUGAUGGUUGGAGCUUCAUGAUCCUUGGUCCCUUCCAACCUGAGCCAUUCUAUGAUUCUAUGAUUCUACGUGGCCCCGUGGUCCUGUGCUUUCUCUGCAGAAAGCUUUGAAUGCAGAGGGUAGCGGACUUAAUGCACAUGCAUUCAACUUGUGCUGCGUCAGCUCAUGAAGCACCACCAUAGGCAAAAGAACCACAGCGUCAAAUGGGAACUAGGAGCUCCCCCAGAAGCUCUGGGGCUUGGGUGGCACCUUCGACAGCAGCUGCAUUUGCUGCUGGGAUUGAAGGCAGCUGGCGGCCCCGGGCAUCUGCACAACACAGCCGUUGGGCUGGGAAAGUGGUAUGGUGAAUGUUGAUGUGUUAAUGGCAGCCACAGCAUUUCACUGCCAUCCAGACAGGGGUGAGCGGCCAACCUGGCUCCAUAGGGUGCGGUGGAAUAUUUUAGGCAAGAAUCACAUGGAUUUACUUAGAAUUAAAUGUCCCUGAAAUGAAACCCUCAAUCUGGAGACCCACAGGCUUUGCGCCCGUCAUCCAAGCCCACCUCACGACAGCUCUCUGCACCUGGUUCUCAUCUGUGCAAUGGGUCCGCCCAGCUCUCUGGAUCGGAAUCCCACAAAACCCGGGGAAUGCUUGACAUUUAGAUCCAUUUCUUUGUGGCUUGGACCCCUCUGAGACGAAUGGAGCUUUCUAUCAAUCUGGAUUUGCUUUUCUCCCGACAUUCCCCUGCCGAACCCGUCAGGCUUGUGUGAAUCCCGCCUGGCUUCACGCUCUGUUACAGAGCUGCAAUGCUCUUUCAAAGGCUCACAGCUUUUUGCCCCAAACUGCUCUGAAGCUCAUGGAAACCGGGUGGAGUCAAUGUGGCCUUGGCUCCAGGAGGAGCAUUUGUUGCAUUGCUGGGCGCAGUGCAGCUGAGGUGCCCCGUGCUGGAGGUCGUGCUUCCACCUUACACUUGUUUGUGAUGGGAUGGAAGACAUCAGACAGACAGACAGACAGACAGCUCUCAGACAUGCACUGCAGCCUGGCUUUCCCACCAUCCAGUUCUCCUUGCUUGCACGAGGUUUUAGCAUUUCUCUUUUAUCUCAGCCUUGUGAGCUUCAAAGCUGACGUGAAGCCCUGCUGUACCUCGCUGCAGAUGGGAGCGGAGCAGCCCGUGCCUCCCGCGUUCAUCCUGCAGAACUGGAAUUGAUUUAUUUUGGUUGCAGCAGUAACGACUGCAGUUCCUGGCUGGAUGCAAACCAGGCUCUUCAGAGCCCUUUUAGCAUACCAGCUCUUAGGAAACCCUUUCCAAUGCCACUGUCUUUUGCUUUUGACUGUUAAUGCUUAUGCAAAUAAAAGCUGCUCUCCCCGUUUGUCUGAAUGCCUUUUGCUUUCAGAUGGGAAGUGUGGGGAAGUCUGCAAGCACUGUCCCAUCGGAAAGCAUCAGAAGAUAUCUCUGGUGAGUGCUGGCACAGCUCAGACACCAAGUGGGUCUGGCAUGGUGUGAGGGCAUCCAUAGGGGAUGCUGCUGUAGUGCAAGGAGCCAUGGUGACAUGGCAUGGUGGCAUGGCAAAGUGGCAUGGAAUGGUGACGUGGUAUGGUGACAUGGCAUGGUGACAUGGUAUGGUGACACAGCACAGUAUCACGGCAUAGUGACACAGAAGGCAACACGGCAUGAUUCCAGGACAUGGCUACAUGGCACAGUGACACAGCACCUUGACAUGGCAAGGUGACAUGGAAGGAAGCAUGAUAUGGGGCCAUGGCUUGUUGACUGGUGCUGUGGCAGAUCAGCAAUUGAAACCCACGUCUUCUCGCAGACACCACUCUGCUUUUGGCUCACGAGCCGAUCUGUCAAUUAGCAGCCUGUGUAUCGACUCCAGCCGCCAUGCCCAGAAUAGCAGCAGCAAAGUGUGGAAGCAUCUAUUAAAUUUAUUUUAAACCACGAGAACUGAGACGCACGUCUGCUCACACGACGGCAGCGCGGCAGGAUGCGGUGCUGCGCCUCUCCAUGGGCUGUUCUGCACACCCCGAGCACAGAGCCCAGCGGCACCAGGCAGACCCGAGGGCUGGGAGAUGCGCUGCACAUCCCGACCUUUCCUCACUGUCAGGAGGAUGUGGGGAUGCAGGGCUUUGCUGAUGCACCCCUCCGCCAGCACCUCCACGACACCGGUUUGUUCUCUGCCUAAUUCCAAUUAUGUUCGACAAUUAAUUGCCCAACUGUGGGAUCUUAAACAAUGUGCUGCAUCGAUUGGAAGUGUGAUAAUCUGUGGAGGGAGAUGCUUCUAAAUGUGAUCUUGCAGCAGAUAAGGCUGCCCGGGAAGGAUGGCACGUGAUGCCAUGUGGAAGGGUUGUUAUGCCGAGAUCUGCCAGCCCGGCUCUGGGCUGAGCUUCACGCAUGCAGGGCUCUGCUGGGUGGCUGGGGGGCUUUUACAGCGUGGGAUAUUUUACUGUUGAUUUUUUAUGCAAGUGGUUUUACAUAAAGCUAAUUCGCUCUGGUUUGUUCCAUUCUCAUGGAAAAGAGCCGUGCCCAUGCUGGUUUAGCCAUCCCGGAAUCCUAUAGUUACCAAGGUUGGAAAAGACCUCCACGAUCAUCCAGUCCAACCUCCACCUACCAUCGGUGUGUCCCCAUCCUGAGCUCCCACUGCAGGAUUGCCUUGUGAGAAAACAGAAGGGUGAUGUUAAAAGGAUUUGAACCAUCCCUGGAGAUGUCCUAACAGAGGCUUGAAAGGUGGAGAAAUGGAGAGCAGCGCAGCACAGCCUGCUCGCAGACGUGGCUUGCAGGGAAACUUGUGAGAGGACAUUGAUUUAUGAUCAAAAGGGAAAAAGCAAAGCAGAAUAAAAAGAAUACUUAAGACUUAAAAA